rnacentral:rRNA from 1 species
AAGCUUGCUUCUCUUGAGAGCGGCGGACGGGUGAGUAAUGCCUAGGAAUCUGCCUGGUAGUGGGGGAUAACGUUCGGAAACGGACGCUAAUACCGCAUACGUCCUACGGGAGAAAGCAGGGGACCUUCGGGCCUUGCGCUAUCAGAUGAGCCUAGGUCGGAUUAGCUAGUUGGUGAGGUAAUGGCUCACCAAGGCGACGAUCCGUAACUGGUCUGAGAGGAUGAUCAGUCACACUGGAACUGAGACACGGUCCAGACUCCUACGGGAGGCAGCAGUGGGGAAUAUUGGACAAUGGGCGAAAGCCUGAUCCAGCCAUGCCGCGUGUGUGAAGAAGGUCUUCGGAUUGUAAAGCACUUUAAGUUGGGAGGAAGGGUUGUAGAUUAAUACUCUGCAAUUUUGACGUUACCGACAGAAUAAGCACCGGCUAACUCUGUGCCAGCAGCCGCGGUAAUACAGAGGGUGCAAGCGUUAAUCGGAAUUACUGGGCGUAAAGCGCGCGUAGGUGGUUUGUUAAGUUGGAUGUGAAAUCCCCGGGCUCAACCUGGGAACUGCAUUCAAAACUGACUGACUAGAGUAUGGUAGAGGGUGGUGGAAUUUCCUGUGUAGCGGUGAAAUGCGUAGAUAUAGGAAGGAACACCAGUGGCGAAGGCGACCACCUGGACUAAUACUGACACUGAGGUGCGAAAGCGUGGGGAGCAAACAGGAUUAGAUACCCUGGUAGUCC